CGGGACGGGUGAGUAAUGUCUGGGAAACUGCCUGAUGAGGGGGAGUAACUACUGGAAACGGUAGCUAAUACCGCAUAACGUCGCAAGACCAAAGAGGGGGACCUUCGGGCCUCUUGCCAUCGGAUGUGCCCAGAUGGGAUUAGCUAGUAGGUGGGGUAACGGCUCACCUAGGCGACGAUCCCUAGCUGGUCUGAGAGGAUGACCAGCCACACUGGAACUGAGACACGGUCCAG
rnacentral:rRNA from 1 species